UAGGGAAUCUUCGGCAAUGGGGGGAACCCUGACCGAGCAACGCCGCGUGAGUGAAGAAGGUUUUCGGAUCGUAAAGCUCUGUUGUUAAGGAAGAAAGAGUGUGAGAAUGGAAAGUUCAUGCUGUGACGGUACUUAACCAGAAAGGGACGGCUAACUACGUGCCAGCAGCCGCGGUAAUACGUAGGUCCCGAGCGUUGUCCGGAUUUAUUGGGCGUAAAGCGAGCGCAGGCGGUUAGAAAAGUCUGAAGUGAAAGGCAGUGGCUCAACCAUUGUAGGCUUUGGAAACUGUUUAACUUGAGUGCAGAAGGGGAGAGUGGAAUUCCAUGUGUAGCGGUGAAAUGCGUAGAUAUAUGGAGGAACACCGGUGGCGAAAGCGGCUCUCUGGUCUGUAACUGACGCUGAGGCUCGAAAGCGUGGGGAGCGAACAGG
rnacentral:rRNA from 1 species